UACAGAGGGUGCAAGCGUUAAUCGGAAUUACUGGGCGUAAAGUGUGCGCAGGCGGCAGAGCAAGUCGAGUGUGAAAGCCCCGGGCUUAACUUGGGAAUUGCGCUCGAAACUACUUUGCUGGAGUGUGGCAGAGGAAGGUGGAAUUCCACGUGUAGCGGUGAAAUGCGUAGAGAUGUGGAGGAACACCAAUGGCGAAGGCAGCCUUCUGGGCCAACACUGACGCUCAUGCACGAAAGCGUGGGGAGCAAACAGG
rnacentral:rRNA from 1 species